CACAACUCAGCCCAUAUGUUUGGUAUGAAUCGAAAGGUUUCGGAAAACUAUACAAGAGCCAAAGACCUAUUAGAAGAUUAUCCAGAAAAGCAUCAAAAUUGAGUAGUAGAACUUUUCAAACCAAGGAGUAAACCAUAAAAUCAAAAGAGUAAAAGCCAACCGCAGUUCUCCAAUGCUCAUCCCACAAGAUGCCUCUUAUGAACCAUAAACCAUCAAAAUACAACCAAGAUUAUAAUCAAACCAACAAUGUACAGGCGAAAGAAACAUUUAGCUUCACAAAUAAAAUAAUUGAAUUUCCACAAUUUAAUCCUUGGAGAUCAAAUAGAGAAAAUAAUUCAAACAUCGAACACCAGUCAAUCCAACAACAGAGAGGAAACUAAUCGAGAAAUUAGGAUAUACUGAUGCAGCCGUUUUAAACCCUUUUUAGGGAUUAGUGUUUCAAAUAUCAGAAACUCGAAUUGCUGAAGGGGAAUGAACACCAACACCAAGUUAAGCUAUCACAAAUAAACGCAAAAGAAAGCACAAGAGUAACAGAACAUAAUAC
rnacentral:lncRNA from 1 species